CCUACGGGAGGCAGCAGUGAGGAAUAUUGGUCAAUGGGCGGGAGCCUGAACCAGCCAAGCCGCGUGAAGGAAGAAGGCGCCAAGCGUCGUAAACUUCUUUUGUCGGGGAACAAAGGGCGCCACGUGUGGCGUUGUGAGUGUACCCGAAGAAAAAGCAUCGGCUAACUCCGUGCCAGCAGCCGCGGUAAUACGGGGGAUGCGAGCGUUAUCCGGGUUUAUGGGGUUUAAAGGGUGCGUAGGCGGUCCGGAAAGUCAGCGGUAAAAGCCCGGGGCUCAACCCCGGCGAGCCGUUGAAACUGUCGGACUAGAGACGGCGAGAAGUACGCGGAAUGCGCGGUGUAGCGGUGAAAUGCAUAGAUAUCGCGCAGAACUCCGAUUGCGAAGGCAGCGUACCGGCGCCGGACUGACGCUGAGGCACGAAAGCGUGGGUAUCGAACAGGAUUAGAUACCCCAGUAGUC
rnacentral:rRNA from 1 species